UACGGAGGGGGCUAGCGUUGUUCGGAAUUACUGGGCGUAAAGCGCACGUAGGCGGCUUUGUAAGUUAGAGGUGAAAGCCCAGAAGCUCAACUCUGGAAUUGCCUUUAAGACUGCAUCGCUUGAAUCAUGGAGAGGUGAGUGGAAUUCCGAGUGUAGAGGUGAAAUUCGUAGAUAUUCGGAAGAACACCAGUGGCGAAGGCGACUCACUGGACAUGUAUUGACGCUGAGGUGCGAAAGCGUGGGGAGCAAACAGGG
rnacentral:rRNA from 1 species